rnacentral:rRNA from 1 species
AUUGAACGCUGGCGGCAUGCCUUACACAUGCAAGUCGAACGGCAGCGCGGGAGCAAUCCUGGCGGCGAGUGGCGAACGGGUGAGUAAUACAUCGGAACGUGCCCAAUCGUGGGGGAUAACGCAGCGAAAGCUGUGCUAAUACCGCAUACGAUCUACGGAUGAAAGCAGGGGAUCGCAAGACCUUGCGCGAAUGGAGCGGCCGAUGGCAGAUUAGGUAGUUGGUGGGGUAAAGGCUCACCAAGCCGACGAUCUGUAGCUGGUCUGAGAGGACGACCAGCCACACUGGGACUGAGACACGGCCCAGACUCCUACGGGAGGCAGCAGUGGGGAAUUUUGGACAAUGGGCGCAAGCCUGAUCCAGCCAUGCCGCGUGCAGGAUGAAGGCCUUCGGGUUGUAAACUGCUUUUGUACGGAACGAAAAGUCUCUUUCUAAUAAAGAGGGAUCAUGACGGUACCGUAAGAAUAAGCACCGGCUAAAU